GUCCAAAUAGAAUACCAAGCUAUUUUCUUUUAUUUGCAUUAUUAUUAUUAAUUUAUUAUUGUUAUUGUUAUUGUUAUUAUUUGGCGAGCACAAAUGGAGAAAGAACUGUAUAGGCCAGAUUUCUAAGUGAAGAAGCAGUAUUAGUUCAGAAACAAGGGAGUGAAAAAGAGGUGGAUUGAAGUGAACUAAGCUUGGUUGCACCAUAUAUAUCUAAAAUGGCUGGCCAUGAAGGGGGGAAGAUGGUUUUUGAGCCGAUUCUUGAGCAAGGAGUGUUCCGGUUUGAUUGUUCAGCCGAUGAUAGGAACGCGGCCUUUCCAAGCAUCUCCUUUGAAAAUCCUCUAGUUAGAGAUACACCAAUCAUGAAUGUCCACAAAAUUCCAACCUACAUUCCCACUUUUGAAUGUGUAAUGGGGCAGCAAGUAGUUAAUGUCGAGUUUCCUCCAGGCACCUCUUUCUAUGGAACUGGAGAAGUUAGUGGGCAGCUUGAACGAACGGGGAAGAGGAUUUUCACUUGGAAUACCGAUGCUUGGGGAUAUGGUGCUGGAACGACUUCCUUGUAUCAAUCACACCCCUGGGUGCUAGUGGUGCUUCCAGAUGGAGAGGCGCUUGGAGUUCUUGCAGAUACAACACGACGUUGUGAGAUUGAUUUGGGGAAGGGAUCAAAUGUAAAGUUUGUUUCUUCGGCAUCCUAUCCUGUCAUCACAUUUGGUCCAUUUGCUUCGCCAACUGAUGUUCUCGUGUCUUUCUCAAGAGCAGUUGGAACUAUUUUUAUGCCCCCUAAGUGGGCGUUGGGCUAUCAUCAGUGCCGGUGGAGUUAUGACACUGAUGAACGAGUUCGUGAGAUUGCAAGGACAUUCCGGGAAAAAGAUAUUCCUUGUGAUGUGAUAUGGAUGGACAUAGAUUACAUGGAUGGUUUUCGUUGUUUCACAUUCGACCAGGAGCGAUUUCCAGAUCCAAAAUCUCUUGCAGAUUAUCUUCAUGAAAAUGGGUUCAAAGCCAUCUGGAUGCUUGACCCAGGGAUAAAACAUGAAAAGGGAUAUUUUGUCUAUGAUAGUGGUUCGGAGAGGGAUAUCUGGAUUCAAACUGCAGACGGCAAACCUUUUGCCGGAGAGGUGUGGCCCGGGCCUUGUGUUUUUCCAGAUUUUACACAAUCGAGAGCCCGUUCGUGGUGGGCUGACCUAGUUAAAGACUUCAGCUCUAACGGUGUGGAUGGUAUAUGGAAUGAUAUGAAUGAACCAGCUGUUUUCAAGACUGUGACAAAGACGAUGCCUGAGAGCAAUAUUCAUAGAGGAGAUACAGAACUUGGAGGAUGUCAGAACCAUUCAUACUAUCACAAUGUUUAUGGUAUGCUAAUGGCAAAAUCAACAUACGAGGGCAUGAUGCUAGCAAAUGAAAAAAAGCGUCCAUUUGUUCUUACUCGAGCAGGCUUCGUGGGUAGCCAAAGAUAUGCUGCAACAUGGACGGGCGAUAAUCUUUCAACUUGGGAGCACCUCCAUAUGAGUAUCCCCAUGGUUCUUCAACUGGGGCUUAGUGGUCAGCCACUCUCAGGGCCAGACGUUGGUGGAUAUGCCGGUAAUGCAACACCUAAGCUGUUUGGAAGAUGGAUGGGUAUUGGCUCCAUGUUUCCUUUUUCUCGUGGGCAUUCUGAAACAGGCACGAAAGAUCAUGAACCGUGGUCUUUCGGACAAGAGUGUGAAGAAGUUUGCCGACUUGCAUUACAAAGGCGAUAUCGGAUUUUACCCCUUCUAUAUACUUUAUUUUAUUUUGCUCAUACCAAAGGGAUUCCUGUGGCAACUCCAACAUUUUUUGCUGAUCCUAAAGAUUUGGAGUUAAGAACACAAGAAAAUUCAUUUAUGCUGGGACCGCUUCUCAUUCAUGCAAGCACCGGAAAGGAUGAGGAGUUAUAUGGAAUGCAACACAAGUUGCCUACAGGCACCUGGCACAGUUUUGAUUUCGAAGAUUCUCAUCCAGAUUUACCAGCUUUGUACCUAAAAGGUGGAUCAAUCAUUCCUGUAGCUCCGCCCUCUCUACAUGUCAAUGCAGGUAGUCCCUCAGAUGAUUUGUCGCUGCUUGUGGCUUUAGAUGAACACGGUAAAGCUGAAGGCUUUCUAUAUGAAGAUGAUGGCGAUGGAUAUGAAUUCAGUAAAGGAGGCUAUCUGUUGACAACGUAUGUUGCUGAACGGCUGUCUUCUGUGGUCACUGUGAAGGUUCUCAAAUCAGAAGGAUCUUGGGAGAGACCAAACCGCCGCUUGCAUGUGCAACUACUGCUUGGAAAAUGUGCUAUGAUUGAUGCAUGGGGUAUUGAUGGAGAUGUCCUACAAAUUGAAAUGCCUUCUGAAAGCGAAUUGUCAGAUUUAGUAUUGGCUGGUGAAAAGCAAUUGAAGAGUCGUAUAGAAAAUGCUGCACGUAUUCCAGAUUUAGAAGUUUCGGGACAGAAGGGAACAGAAUUAUCAUAUGCACCCAUUGAAAUGAAAAGUGGGGAUUGGAUUCUGAAGGUUGUGCCAUGGGUUGGUGGGAGAAUUCUUUCUAUGGAGCACCUCCCCUCAGGUACUCAGUGGCUGCAUAGUCGGAUCGAUGUUGAUGGCUACGAAGAAUAUAGUGGUGUGGAGUACCGAUCUGCUGGAUGUUCAGAGGAAUAUUCUGUCAUUGAACGGGAUCUAGAGCAGGCCGGAGAAGCAGAGGCUCUGAAAUUAGAGGGUGAUAUCGGAGGUGGACUAAUUCUUGCUCGACAGAUACAUAUCCCGAAAGAAAACCCAAAACUUUUCAGAAUCGAUUCUGCCAUUGUAGCUCGCAACGUUGGUGCUGGCUCCGGAGGAUUCUCAAGGCUCGUUUGCUUGCGAGUGCACCCAACUUUCAACUUGUUACACCCUACUGAGUCUUAUGUGUCAUUCACUGCCAUUGAUGGAUCCAAGCACGAGGUUUGGCCCGAAUCUGGUGAUCAGUUUUUCAUAGGGGAUUCCCUCCCCGAUGGCGAAUGGAUGCUUGUGGAUAAAGGGCUUGGCUUGGCACUGGUGGACCGGUUCAGUAUCAGCGAGGUGCACAAAUGCCUCGUUCACUGGGGAACGGGGACUGUGAAUUUAGAGCUCUGGUCCGAAGAGAGACCCGUCUCUAAGGAAUCUCCACUUCAGAUAUCUCACGAGUAUCAAGUAAGAGAACUGCCGUAAACUGCUCACAUCCAUGAGAUCAGCUAACUGCGUGAUGCAUUGAGCUACCUAGAAGCGAAGCACCAAGAUUAUGAUACAUUCUGCACAAUACAAAGUUUUGCUCCACCACAGCAUCAAAUUGAAGAUAAACCUACUGCUUCUCUCUCUUGAUCUUGAUCCAUCAUGAACUCAGACGAGGUUAAGCAGCCUUUCGAGAUGGCGAAAGGGCCAUCUCCCAUACUACCCCUCCUUCUGGUGGUGGGACUAGGCCUCCUCCUCCGCGGCAGCUCCUCCUCCCUCAGCCUCGACCUCCCCUUGGUCUCCGGUGGGGAGAACGCCCUCUUCACAUGCUUCGUCUUCAUCCCAAUCCUUGUCCUCCUCGCGGCAUACUCCACGGCCCACACGAUCGUGCUGCCCUUCGCCCUCAUCCUCAUCACUUACACGGUCAGCACCAUGCUCCUCGGCCCCCUCAUGCUCAUACUCAUCAUCUACCUGGCCGGGGCUUACCUGGCCUCCGUCAAGUGCAACGGGGAGGAGCUCGGCUGGGGCUGCAUCCUCGUGCUCGGCUUCUUCCUGCUGCAUUGGGUGCUGUCGCAAGAGAGCCGCCAGUCGGGGGCCCUCGUGCUCGCCAUUAUGAUCUUCCUCUGUUACCACUGCUUCCCUUAGGCAUAUAUCUAUUCUUGAAAUAUGUUCUCUCUCUUUUUUUUUUUUUGGGAAAUUAAAUACUUGAAAGAUGUUGUGUUACUAGUGUGUUUGUACAUAAUCCUUGCAGAAUUACUGCAGUUGAGCACUGAGUGAUAUUGAUUAUUAACAUUUGCAAUAAGGAUUUCAGAUGAUUUGAUC